rnacentral:miRNA from 1 species
UUUUUAGUACAAGUAUGUCUCAAGCAAUAUUUGGAGUGUAGUUACUCUAAAA